rnacentral:lncRNA from 1 species
UUUAAUUGAGAUCGGCUUAUUGGGUCAUAGUGGGCUCGGAAGGCACCGGGAGGUGGACGCUGCUCUGUGAAACCAGCCUCACGCAGUCUCCUCUGCUCUAAGAAAUGGUUUAAUUGAGAUCGGCUUAUUGGGUCAUAGUGGGCUCGGAAGGCACCGGGAGGUGGACGCUGCUCUGUGAAACCAGCCUCACGCAGUCUCCUCUGCUCUAAGAAAUGGUUUAAUUGAGAUCGACUUAUUGGGUCAUAGUGGGCUCGGAAGGCACCGGCCCGUUAUCCUAAGGAUACUCUACCAAAAGCGGGAGGUGGCGGGAGGUGGACGCUGCUCUGUGAAACCAGCCUCACGCAGUCUCCUCUGCUCUAAGAAAUGGUUUAAUUGAGAUCGGCUUAUUGGGUCAUAGUGGGCUCGGAAGGCACCGGGAGGUGGACGCUGCUCUGUGAAACUAGACUCACGCAGUCUCCUCCGCUCUAUGAAAUGGUUUAAUUGAGAUCGGCUUAUUGGGUCAUAGUGGGCUCGGAAGGCACCGGCCCGUUAUCCUAAGGAUACUACCAAGAGCGGGAGGUGGACGCUGCUCUGUGAAACCAGCCUCACGCAGUCUCCUCCGCUCUAAGAAAGUCUGAACCACAAGCCUUCGCUUAGGUCCGAACCUUCAACUCUCAGCUUGGAAUGGGCAGGCGAGUAGAAAGCCCAAAUCGAACCCGGCCCAAUGAAAUCGGUCCAACAUUCCAACACCUUGUAGUCUCCACUUGGAUCACAAGCCCGCGUUACUGAACUCGACGCACAGUAGUUGUCAACUAAACUUAUAUAUACAACAAGAGAAAAAUCAUUUCUUC